UACGUAGGUGACAAGCGUUGUCCGGAUUUACUGGGCGUAAAGAGCGCGCAGGCGGUCGAUCAAGUCGAGUGUCGAAAGCCCCCGGCUGCAACUGGGGAGGGUCAUUCGAUUACUGAUCGACUCGAAGGCAGGAGAGGGUAGUGGAAUUCCCGGUGUAGUGGUGAAAUGCGUAGAUAUGGGAGGAACACCAGUGGCGAAGGCGG
rnacentral:rRNA from 1 species